rnacentral:rRNA from 1 species
AGUGAACGUUGGCGGUAGGCCUAACACAUGCAAGUCGAACGGCAGCACAGUAAGAGCUUGCUCUUACGGGUGGCGAGUGGCGGACGGGUGAGGAAUACAUCGGAAUCUACUUUUUCGUGGGGGGUAACGUAGGGAAACUUACGCUAAUACCGCAUACGACCUACGGGUGAAAGCAGGGGAUCUUCGGACCUUGCGCGAUUGAAUGAGCCGAUGUCGGAUUAGCUAGUUGGCGGGGUAAAGGCCCACCAAGGCGACGAUCCGUAGCUGGUCUGAGAGGAUGAUCAGCCACACUGGAACUGAGACACGGUCCAGACUCCUACGGGAGGCAGCAGUGGGGAAUAUUGGACAAUGGGCGCAAGCCUGAUCCAGCCAUACCGCGUGGGUGAAGAAGGCCUUCGGGUUGUAAAGCCCUUUUGUUGGGAAAGAAAAGCAGCAGGUUAAUACCCCGCUGUUCUGACGGUACCCAAAGAAUAAGCACCGGCUAACUUCGUG